UUUUUAGAUCUUCCUGGAGGAGUUUGCCACCUAACCGAUAACCCACGAAAAACCUCCCCAGAAUUUGAAAAACCAGCAUGUAUACCAUCGUCGUCAGUCUACCUCUCAAGAGAAGUAUACUAAAUGAAGCCCACUCCCCACGUCAGAUCGAGGUGCAGCUAAUAUUCUGGAAAAUGGUGAACUACAAUAUUUUAACAAACCAAACCCACAAAACAACUUAUGAACAGUAUUAUGAAACCAAUACUCAAAACAGGAUUCAGCAGUAAUACCUAAAAGAAAAUAGAUAUGAAACCAAAGCUCUAAAAUGCGC
rnacentral:rRNA from 1 species